UUUCUGCUGCACAGGUUUUACCCGUUUUCAUCCGGGUUAACACGAAUAUCAGAACUGAUCAUCGGUUAUCUAUGUAACCGUGUAGUUUAAUCGUGUGAUUUGAAUAUAUAUGUUUUUCAGUUGUGACCCAUGAUUUCAGCGGUCAGUUACUAAGAGCAUUUCAAAAUUGUGCACACCUGUGAUCCCGCUUCCUACCGCGACCUCGCUUUCUCAUCAUUCCGACCCACACUGAACUUAUUGACCAUGGAUAAUGGUCGUAAGCGCAUCGGUUUAGGUGAGGUCUCGCCUUCGUCCGUCAGAACUGCGUAGACGGUGCUUGCAGUCCUGUCACUCUAAUGCUCAAGAAGGAGGUACAGGAUAUAUGCCGUCAAAUGGGGUCAGAUUGUUUGUGCAGGGCAACCAUAUAUGUUAAUUGCUAAAUCCGGCCACUGUAGUAUGUGCUUAGUUGAUGUAAUCAAGAAAAUUCCUCUGAAACUAUGCCCGAGAAGGCCUGGAGAUGCCACGGCUGUGUAUGCAUCAACAUAAAAGGUUGAGAAAGAGCUUGGCUGGAAGUAAGUUUGAAGUUUUUACUGUUUUAAGUUUUAGAAAUUUAUGAGUUGCUUAUUGAGAACUCAGUUGAGCUUCUUUGCUGCAAAUUCAGGUAUUUUGUGGCAAAUUUAAGGUAAGCAAAUAAGUUAUUGCAGGGUUCUAGAACUUCUAUUGUUCUAUUUUUUCAAGGCAGAUUCUUUGCUUCUCUAAUGUGAACCAAAUAUUAAUUUAUAAUUUUAUAGUGUUUGUUUUAUGUAAUGUGUUCAGAGGGUUUCGUAUUUGGCUGAAGUAUGUUCCAGGGAUUAAUUUCAGGACAUACAAUGAGCCACUUAAGGUUACAGGGAGUCUGAAAAAGGCCCUAUUAUUCUCUCUCAGGUUAGAGUUUAAAUUAGCCCAUUAAUUCUUUAUCAAAAAUUAGCCCAUUAAUUCUUCAUCAGAGUCUAUCGCUAUUGUUAAAAUGUCUUCAUGUUUUAUUCUAAAAUUAUAUAAUUUAUUUCUCACUUUAAUAGCAAAUUAAUACAUGUAAUGGAUUCUAUAAACCUACAAUCUGGACAGAAGCUUGGAGUGGAUGGUACGUGUCUGUGUGAUAUUGUACUCCUUUGGAGGCUAAAACUAUGAACAGUCAAAUUGAUCCCAUUUUGGUGUGCAAACUAACAGGUUCACCGACUUUAGAGGCCCAAUAUAUAAGAGACCAGUUCAGGAUUUGACAUUUGUUGUUCCGAUUAGUACAAAAGAGAGGAUCAUUUGUUAAGCAAUAUAAGUCAUGCAAAAAAAAUUCUUGGAACUCAGUUAUUUUCAAUGGACUGAAAAGGUUGAUAACAAAUCUCAUUGUUCGGAAGCGUAUAAUGCUCUUUUUAUGGUAGUGGUGAAGAGAAAAAGUUUUGAUAUGGUGGAACAAAUUUUGAAGAAGAUGGAGUUUAGCAGGUUUUGAGGGCAUACUUAUAGUGUUUGUAUAGAUAUAGUUGUUAGUUGUGUAAAGUCUCACAAAUUUGGGGAAGCAUACCAGCUUUUUCUGCUUAUUCAACUCUUAUAUGCGCUUUAUCUGAAGCUCUGAAGCGGAUCUCAUGCUCUCGCUAUUUCAUCAGAUGCAAGAAAUAGGGUAUGAGGUAACAGUGCAUUUAUUCACAAUGGCCUCAGUCCUGAUAAUGUCACAUAUACUAGCAUGAUAGGAGUACUCUGCAAAGCUAAUAGAUUGGACGAAGCUGUGAAUAUUUUUGAGCAAAUAGAUCUGAACAGGAAAGUCCUAUGUGCAUAUGCUAAUAGACAUGCUCUGCAAGGCAAGGAAACUUGAGGCCGUUUUGGAGAAUUGGACAAUUCAUGGGUUUUACUAGGAAAGUCAUAAAUUAAACAAACCCGGAGUUCUUGAAGAUUCGUUGAAUGAACUGCUCUCCUGGCUGGCAAAGGGUUUAAUUACCAUUAAUGUGUCUCAUACUUUCAGACUGUGACAGGCCAACCUUGCAUUUGCUGCCAUUAGGGAUAGAAAGUUGAUUGGAAAAGUUUGAUUGUUUUUUAUGAUCCAAAAUAUGUCAAAUCUAAGCUUUAAUUUGUUUAGAAAAAUUAUUGGAAUUGGCCGCAUGAACUCGACAAUUUACUCAAAUGUUACUUUCCCCCAUCACAUAGCAAAUGAUUGUCCUGUUUCCAGCAUCAAGAUCACAGUCUGAAUAGUAUGAACUGAACUACCAAAUAUCACAAAAGUGUGGCAGCUAAGGAACUGAUUUUUGUAAGACUCCGGAAAUUGUCUCCAGUCAUGUGUGGUUAAUAGUCCCAUUUUAUUUGCUCAGUUCUAUGGCUAUAGUUAUUUUUGUUAAUCCUUUUUAAUGGCAUUUAUUAUAUAUAUUUAUUAAUAUU